AAAACAUAGCUUUUUGUUAGUUUUCUAAAAAGUGUUUUCUGCUCAGUGUUUUUAAAUAGCCGCGGUAAUUUGACCGUGCAAAGGUAGCAUAAUCAUUUGCCUUGUAAUUGAGGGCUAGAAUGAAUGGAUUUUCGAGACUAUGGCUUUAUUUAAGAGAUAGAAAUAAUUUUCUUUUCUAGUGAAGAAGCUAGAAUGUGCAUAAGGGACAAGAAGACCCUUUUGAGCUUUACUUUUAUUUUUAUUGCUUAAAAACUAAGAGUUUGGUUGGGGCGACCAGAGAAGAAUAAUCUUCUCUUUUUUUUAGGAUCCAUAGGUUUUGAAAAAUAGAGCAAGUUACCAAAGGGAUAACAGCGUAAUUUUUUUUAAGAGUUCUUAUUAAAAAAGUAGAUUGCGACCUCGAUGUUGACUUAUAACUUCCUUUUUGUGCAGCAGCAG
rnacentral:rRNA from 1 species